rnacentral:misc_RNA from 1 species
GAUGAAGAACGUAGCGAAAUGCGAUACGUAAUGUGAAUUGCAGAAUUCAGUGAAUCAUCGAGUCUUUGAACGCACAUUGCGCCCCCUGGUAUUCCGGGGGGCAUGCCUGUCCGAGCGUCAUUGCUGCCCUCAAGCACGGCUUGUGUGUUGGGCCUCCGCCCCCCGGCUCCCGGGGGGCGGGCCCGAAAGGCAGCGGCGGCACCGCGUCCGGUCCUCGAGCGUAUGGGGCUUCGUCACCCGCUCCGUAGGCCCGGCCGGCGCCCGCCGGCGACCCCCCUCAAUCUUUCCAGGUUGACCUCGGAUCAGGUAGGGAUACCCGUUGAACUUAAGCAUAUCAAUAAGCGGAGGA